CAGAGAGUAGUUUAUAAAAAAAAUUUUAAUUUUGGAGAUUAAAGAUAGAAAGAUUUUUCUUUCUCUGA
rnacentral:tRNA from 1 species